rnacentral:rRNA from 1 species
AUUGAACGCUGGCGGCAGGCCUAACACAUGCAAGUCGAGCGAGCGGCGGACGGGUGAGUAAUGUAUGGGGACUGCCCGAUAGAGGGGGAUAACUACUGGAAACGGUGGCUAAUACCGCAUACUAUCGGAUAACCCAUAUGGGAUUAGCUAGUAGGUGGGGUAAAGGCUCACCUAGGCGACGAUCUCUAGCUGGUCUGAGAGGAUGAUCAGCCCCACUAGAACGGAGACACGGCCCAGACUACAACGGAGGCGGCAGUGGAGAAUGUUGCACAAGGGACGCGAGCCUGAUGCAGCCAUGCCGCGGGUAUGAAGAAGGGCUUAGGGUUGUAAAGUACUAUCAGCGGGGAAGCGUUACCAGAAGAAGAAGCACCGGCUAACUCCGUGCCAGCAGCCGCGGUAAUUC